rnacentral:pre_miRNA from 1 species
UGUCAUGAAUAUGCACUGUCCUGAUUACCCACAGCAUAUCUUGUCGUGGGCAACCAGAAUAAUGCAUAGUUAUGACAGUC